UACGGAGGAUGCGAGCGUUAUCCGGAUUUAUUGGGUUUAAAGGGAGCGUAGGUGGGAUAUUAAGUCAGCUGUGAAAGUUUGGGGCUCAACCUUAAAAUUGCAGUUGAUACUGGUUUCCUUGAGUACGGUACAGGUGGGCGGAAUUCGUGGUGUAGCGGUGAAAUGCUUAGAUAUCACGAAGAACUCCGAUCGCGAAGGCAGCUCACCGGGCCGGAACUGACACUGAUGCUCGAAAGUGCGGGUAUCAAACAGGAUUAGAUACCCUGGUAGUCCGCACAGUAAACGAUGAAUACUCGCUGUUUGCGAUACACGGUAAGCGGCCAAGCGAAAGCGUUAAGUAUUCCACCUGGGGAGUACGCCGGCAACGGUGAAACUUAAAGGAAUUGACGGGG
rnacentral:rRNA from 1 species